UGCUAUGAUGUUGUAAUUUGCGUCGUAUCCGGUGUUCAGGGACAGUUGCCUGCUGUCCACAUGCUGUCACCGAUGAGCUGAAGAUUCUCUAAAACUGAGCA
ensembl:snoRNA SNORD16 Small nucleolar RNA SNORD16